rnacentral:rRNA from 1 species
AGAGUUUGAUCCUGGCUCAGAACGAACGUGGCGGCGUGGAUUAGGCAUGCAAGUCGGGGGAUUCCGCCGCAAGGCGGGGAACCGGCGUAAGGGGCAGUAAUGUGUGGGUACCUACUUUCGGGUUCGGGAUAGCCAUCAGAAAUGGUGGGUAAUACCGGAUGACGUCGUGAGACCAAAGAUUUAUCGCCCGAAGAGGGGCCCACAUGAUAUUAGCUAGUUGGUGAGGUAACGGCUCACCAAGGCGAAGAUGUCUAGCGGGUGUGAGAGCACGACCCGCGCCACUCGCACUGAGACACUGGCGAGACACCUACGGGUGGCUGCAGUCGAGGAUCUUCGGCAAUGAGCGCAAGCUUGACCGAGCGACGCCGCGUGAGCGAUGAAGGCCUUCGGGUUGUAAAGCUCUUUAGUGGGGGAGAAAAGCCCGCAAGGGUGUGAUCUAUCCCAAAAAUAAGCACGGGCUAAGUUCGUGCCAGCAGCCGUGGUAAGACGAACCGUGCGAACGUUGUUCGGAAUCACUGGGCUUAAAGGGCGCGUAGGCGGGCUGUCAAGUCUGGGGUGAAAUGCCACGGCUCAACCGUGGAACUGCCUCAGAUACUGACGGCCUCGAGGGAGGUAGGGGCGUGCGGAACUGUAGGUGGAGCGGUGAAAUGCGUUGAUAUCUACAGGAACUCCGGUGGCGAAAGCGGCGCGCUGGACCUCUUCUGACGCUGAGGCGCGAAAGCUAGGGGAGCAAACGGGAUUAGAUACCCCGGUAGUCCUAGCCCUAAACGAUGGGUACUAGAUAGUAGACUAGAUAUGGGUUUACUGUCGAAGCUAAAGUGCUAAGUACCCCGCCUGGGGAGUAUGGUCGCAAGGCUGAAACUCAAAUGAAUUGACGG